GGGCCGGGCGCGGGAGGCGGGGCCGGGCGCAGGAGGCGGGCCCGGGGCUGAGGCGGGGCUGGACGCAGGAGGCGGGGCCGGGCGCGGAAGGUGGGGCCCAGGGCUGAGGCGGGGUCGGGCGCGGGAGGCGGGGCCGGGCGCAGGAGGCGGGGCCCGGGAGGCGGGGCCCGGCGCUGAGGCGGCGCUCGGAGGCCGGUCGCGCUGUCGGCUCCCGGACCGGAGCUUCUGUUUUACUGGCGAAGCUCGGUCUCGUCGUUCUUGCCUGUGCACUAGACCAGCGAGUCAACUGGAAUUGCGUGACUGUGAUCGGCGCUGCUUUCGUAGUAAAGGGGAGCCCGCAGACGCGGCGAAGGUCUCGGUCCCUUCUCCGGCCGUUCCCCGGGGGCCGGCGUGAGGAGGUGGCUGCCUGCGCUGUGGAAGCCUCUCGGUCCCGGUCGCGGGACAGCGGAGCGCAGGCGGUGAGUGCUGGGGGAAAGGGAGCUGCGCUCUUCCCUUUCGUGCUGCAAAGAAACGCCUCUGCCCGGCCCCCGCGGCGCUCCAGGAGCUCGAGCGAAGCCCGGCGCGGCGCCGAGCCCGUGUCCUCCCGCUGGCUCAGCUGCUGCCUGUUAAUCUGCACAUAGGAUGUGCUUUCUGCAUGGGAUAUGCACGGAAGUCUUCUUUCUAACGCUCUGGGCACGGCAUCACUGAACCCAAACUUGCUUUGAAAAUGUGCUCUGAACGUUCUCGGGACUUAAUACUUGACUGCAAAGGCAAAAUAAUAUUUUACUUAGAAUUCUGCAACUGAGGAAUGUUUUGCAGGGUGAACCAAGCUAAAUCAUCAUAAGAAGAAAUGAGGAAUUGUUAGCUCCUACUUAGGGUUGAAAUCUUCAGAUUUGAGACAAAUCCUAAUUUACAGAAAAAGUUAAAAUAAUCAUUUUCUGUACUCAGACACUCGCUCUUCUUUGUUCCAUGCUCAGUCACUACUGCUUUCCAAAAAGGAAAAAAAAAGUUUAUGUGAAUCCUUCUGUUGCUGCUCUUGGUGGCUCUUCCCCUGCCCCCAGCUGUCUCCUCGAAAUGAUCACUUCUGCUCUCACACUUCUCACACUUCAGACUUGUGCAUUGCUUAUCAUGCUGGCCUGUCUAUUGGCUGUCUUCUGACUGCCUUUCUCUUAGCACCUUAAAUUCUUUCUGUGACAGUGUGAUUUUAGCACCUUCAUUCAGUAUUUUCUCCUUAACUGCUAAAUGUUAAUAUAUGCUGCUAUAGGAGAAAGUAUUUAAGUGGUGAGGAGAUUUUCUUGUUAGACUCUGUGUUCAUUAUUUGCAAUUGAGGAUGAUAGCAAGUGUUGUUAGUCUUGUGUUUGUGGGCUGUCCACUUUUAUAACCACUUACAUUAGUUUUUAUUUGCAUUUAGGUUAGUUAAUACAAUUAUCAUUAAAUAAUAGUUUUUGUAAUUUAAAUAUGAGUAAUAUUUUCAUGAGUUUCACUUUGAAGAUUAGGAUUUUCUUCCUGGAAUUUCAAACAAAACUAAGGUCUGAACAAGUAAUCUCCAGCACAGCAGUGGGGCAUUGAGGCCAUGAUGAGCUUUAUCAGUUUCACUUCAGGUGAUUUUAGAUUUUGAGUACUCAGGGAGGCUGUGUUCCUCUGUAAGCAUACACUGGAAAACAAUUAUUUCUAGUCAGUUUUGGUGCAAUAGUUUGAAUUCUGAUACAGCAUCAAUAGUCUUGAAUCACAGAAUCAACUAGGUUGGAAAAGACCUUUGAGAUCAUCAAGUCAAAGCGAAGAUCUAACGCUGCCUUGUCACCCGGACCGUGGCACUGAGUACCACUUCCAGACUUACCUUAAACACCUCCGUGGGCAGCCCGUUCCAAUGCCCAAUCACUCCUUCUGUGAGGAACUUCCUCCUAAUGUCCAGCCUAAAACUUGCUUAGUGCAUCUUAAGACUGUGUCCUCUUGUCCUGUCAGUGGUUGCCUGGAGGAAGAGACCGACCCCACCUGGCUACAAACUCCUUUCAGGAAGUUGUCGUUGCUGUUAAAGGGGCUGUAUAUCUGCUGAGCUAAUAAAGCUCAGGUCUUGGGGUGUGUACUGAGUCUUGUGUGUUUGGCCUCUAGCCUUGGAGGAAAAUCCACUAAAACCUCAUAAUAUCAUGCUGCAUCUUAACAACUUGGUUGAAAUUAUCUUCAUUGGGGAAAAAACCCAACAGAUUGCAAAUGCUGAAUUGGGAAGUUUACCUCUCAGAGCAGUUAACCUUGCAAUAAUGCAUGCUAAUUUCGAAAUGCCUGUAAGCUACUACAGAUGUUUUGCAUGAGCUGGCUGACCAAGGAAGCAGAAGACUUCAGUACUAGACAUUUCCAUUUUAGGUCAAGAAGAGAGAAUUUAAUUCCUGCUGCCAAAGAACAAAGAUUACUGUCGUGUGUCUGACCUGCAGAAACUGAUGGGAAAAAGAGUUCCACGGAUUAUGCCACCAUCACUGAAACUUGUUUUCAUCAGAAGUAAUUUUUUUUAAGAUUGUGGAAAGCAGACUACCUAACCUUGUAGAAAGAUGUCCCUUAAAGUAUAGAAGAAAACUUGGUACCAAGACUUCCCCUCCUGCUUCCUGGGUUAUAGUCUGUGCCUUUUGUUCUCUUUUAUAUUCUGUGUAUUUUUAAAUAUGCUCCAGCCUCCAGCCAGCUUUUUUUCUCCUAGCAUGGACUUUCAGAAAGAAAGUAUAUCUAUUUAAAAAAACCCAAAUGAACAGGCACACAAUUAAGGGAGAUAAUGCCAUCUGUAUACAGAUAAAACCAUCUGUAUUUCUCUCUUCUGUUUUCUCUUCUUUCUUCUCUUCUGGAAGUCAUAGAUUCCAGGACCCACAGUCGAUGUUACCAUGUCUGCCACUGGUGAAAAAGUCAUUAGUUACACCAAAUAUAAAAAAAUACACUCUAUAUCUUAUUUUGCAUUUGUCUUCAUUGAAAAGAAUGUUGGCCAAAGCGUAUUUGGCCUGACCAGAAUAUAAUUAAAAAAAAAAAAAUUAUUUAUAGGAAUAUUCUCCUUUAUAGCACACUUUCCUCAUUUGCUAAUUUAAGUUAAUGAACAAAGUCCUGUGAUUGUUUUAGGAUUUUAUUAAAAUUACAUGAAGGCACAUGCUCAGUGAUUCACCACUUAAGUCCAAAGUAGGAUGUUUGUAUUAGGUGGAUGAAUUUUUAAAAUUACAGCAUCUGCUUGUGUGUACAUAUUUAUUUAUGAUUCUUCCCUAGAUGAAUGUAGCAGAAGUGUAGUGAGAAAUAGCCAGCCGUUGGAAUUAGCAGAUAGAGAAAGCAGUUAUUUGUUCCGUGAAGAAGUGUGAAAGCUGAGGCCAGGAGUAAUGAAAACUAAAUAGAUGCUCCAAAUAUCUAAACACAAGUCAGGACAUGUAAAUUGUUUGCAGUGCUGAAUGGUGACGUCAUCUCAGAUGGGUUGCCUUGUCUGGAGUUCUUGUUAAAGAUGAAACCUUCUUCGGUGCAACACCAUUUCUAGCAUCCAGACCACAACAAGUAACACUGAAGAUUUUCUUUCUCAGGACUCUGGGCUGCUGCUCAGCUCCUCAGGAGUGCCAUGUCCCUUCUGGCAGCCUGGCACUUUGGAAUUUAUACCCUCCUUAAAGGGAAGAUGGCAAGAAGAUGAAGCCAGGUUCUUCUCAGUGAUGCCCAGCAAUAGGAAAAGAGACAAGGCACAGAAAGUGAUGCAUAGGAAGUUUCACCUGACCCUGGAAAGAACUUCACUGUGUGAGUGAGAUGCACUGAACAGAUUGCCUGGAGAGGGUGUGGAAAGUCCCUCACUGGAGAUAUUCCAGAAUGUACUGGACACGAUCCUGUGUCAAGUGCUCUGGGAUGGCCCUGCUUGAGCAGGGAGGGCUUUUGGAAUGCCUGGGCAUGUGCCUUCACUGGCUGUCGCAGCAGGUAAGUGCCUGUCAGUGUUGGCAGCAUCCAGGAGCAGGGAUGAAGUGGGGACAGGCUGAUCCUGCUGCUGCUCUGCCAGCAGUGCUUAGGCUGUUUUUGCUUCCAGAAGUGGUUGAUUGGUACCUUCCAUGAGCAGUACACACAAUAUACUCACUUAACAUCACCCCUGUGCCUCCCCACCCAUGCAAAAAAAAAAAAAAAAAAAAAAAAAAAAAAAGGUAAAAAUAUGUGAAAAUGGAACCUAAGAUGCCCUCUGGCACUUAAAUGAGAAUAUAAAUUGAUGACUGCCAUGAAAGCCAUAGUUGGCUGUUAUUUUCCUUUUCAGAAAAUUACUGUCAAAGUGUGAACGCAUAAAACUGUAAUGAUUUUAGUUGUCUUUCCGUUCUGUUUUUCUGAACAGGAGAUGAAUGAUUCUGAUUAAAAUAUGUACAGAAUUAAUUAUUAAACAUAAUUUUCAUCAGAUGAGCAAGGUCUUCCUGGUUGAGAGUAACACAGCCGUGUAUUUUCAUGGUAUCUUGGAGUUGAGUGUAGUUGUGCAGCGACAGUGUAAUGAUGGCUAUAUCUUUAUCAACCUGUACCCUGAACUGUUUUUAUCACUGCCAUCUGCUUGGCCAAGAGUGGCAGCUGCCAGGUCUCACAAAUAGUGCUGUUAUGUACUUUCAUGUAUAACAACAUAUUGUUGUAAUUUCCCUGAUAUUACUAGAUGAAAUAACUUUAAGUGAGAGAAGGUGACAUUUUGCAUGGCACUUAGAAAUGUGUCUCAUUGCUUUGGGUGUAGGACACAGAGUGUUCUUUCUGGUGCAAGCUAUAUCAGCACACCCAGUUAUACUUUCAGAAAUCACUGGAAAAUACUUAUUUUACAAAAACAUUACGUAACAUCCAUCUGGGACAUAUGUGUCAGUGCUGAGACGCAACUGAGACAGUAUUGCUUACACAUGUAGCCUUAGUUACCUUUGCUGGAUGGAAAUUAUGUAAGUUAGACUAUUUUAAAGUUCUUUUUCCUUAUAUCAACUUGAAUCCCCUUAAUAUUUGCAAAUAAGUUCAGACAGCUCCUUCAACAUUAAAGAAAACAUUCAUGAAUGAGUGUUUUAAGGUUGCUUAAAGAAUCACCAGUGAAAGUAUCAGCAAAACCAUGUUUAAUAUAAAAGUGGAAGCAUGAAAAUGUUUGUUUGCAAGGUUAACUCUACUACUUGGUUUAAGAACUAGGAAAAGCAAGUUAAAGUCUAAAAUCAAUCUAAACCCAGAAUCAACUCCAAAAUUAUCUGUGUGAAGGCUGGGGAGUAGAGGGGGAAAAAUGGGUAAGGGCAGAAAAUGAUAAGGAUAAAAAGGAAUAAGAAAGAUCCUCCUGCUGAGUCCCAAGGUUCAGAAUAGACCUCUCCGCUAAACUGAGCUGGGGCAUGACCAACAGUUUAGGCCCAAAGGUUUAACUGCUCUUAAAUGUAACACUUGACAGCUUAAGUUGAACAAUUUAACAAAAUAUUAAUUUAGCAUUUACUAUAGGGCAACAGUAACUACCAGGCCUAAUUUACUUACACAUUCAAACUUCUUAAGAAUUUAAGAGAGCAACGUUUAUAGUGCAUUUCAUAUAGCAUAUUCACAUUUACACGCAUAGAGACUAAACACUAUGUACGAGGUAUGUACCUGUGAAAAAUUCCCCUCGAAUUCAGUGGAAGAUUCACACUGGAUGUCUUUGCACCUUCUCAACAGGCAAAGGUUUGAGCCUCAAGGAGUGGAGGCAUCAGCCCAGGAUCUAUCUUGUCAUUCAGCAGUGGUUGUCUGAGUAUAGCAAACGAGAAUUCACUGGCUCUGAGGGGCCCCACUCAAAAGGAGGUCAUUGGUUGCAGCCUGCUGCAGUCCAGGAGAGUUCAAAGGGUCUCAUUCAGGACCAUUGUUUAUAGGGUCUCAAGAGAGUGGGCUUCAGUCACAGUAAUUUUUCAUCCUGGCUGCAGUUCACUUUGGUAACUUCCUUUGAAAUUUCAAUAACAAAAAUGUUUUUCCACUUGUGAUGUUAUUCAGGCAAGAAAAAUAAGUUUCCUAGGCUGUUUGUUAAAAGCAGGAGCUCAUUAGACAGCACCACUUCCUGGGAACAGACACUGUUUCUGAUAAGCUCAAGAGGAGCUUGGCGCAGGUGCUGUUUGUCAAGGCCAAAGCCUAGCCAGCAUUUCUUGGAUUGUACUGUGGCCCAAGAAGGAAUGGAGCAGAUGCACUACAACAAGAACAAAUCUUUAAAACAAUCUUUAUAGCUGCAGGUGCAAAGAAAACUGAAUUUCAAUAUUUCUUAUUGCUAAUGAGCAUUAAUGAAAAACAGCCUUUCUCAUGAGGCAGAAAACCCUGUUGUGAUGAAGAAGGUAGAAUAUGUAUUCCUGAUUCUUCUAUCAUUUUCUUAUUCAAGUGCCACAGAAUGUCAGCUGCUGAACAGCUGAUUGGCAGCCCGAAGGUCUGAGGCACAGAGACAGCUGGCUUGUAGUCAGCCUGUCUGGAACGCUGCUGCAGGUAGUAGACUUCCUGACAGGAGUGUGGAAGGAAGUGACGGCACGGGUCCUUUAUGUUUUUCUGUUUAUCCAAAUGGAUGUGUAGCUUUGGCACCUCAUUGCUAGUGCGGCAGAGGCCAUUGGAAUUGUUAACAAUGUUCUCCCAAUGGCAAACAGAGGGCCAGGCUGGAGGAAAGUCUCUUGGCAUUUAGAUGAUGUUGUACACUCUGGAAACAUAAGGCUUACUCGUCAUUCCAGCAGUGCAUUUCAAGAGCUGGUGCAGGCUCCUGCCAUUGUACUGAUCUUGAGUGCACACAAGAUUCCCUUUUUGUGCUAAGGGCUGGGACAUGUAAUUUUCAUUAGCCACAUUUUAUAUACAUUUAUGUACCUUAAAAGAAAGAAUAUUUAUACAUAUAAACAUUUUUGCCUUCCUCCCAAGAUUUAAAAAUCUCAUUUGAAACUUGUGUUUGAUUCAUCCCUUGGACUAGAGCCAUAAAUGCUGCAUGAAUUUGUUUUGUGCUCUAAGUAUACACAUUUAUCUGUGUUCCUAAAUUACAUUCUUAUUAAUGGGCACAGUGGUUGCACACCACAAUUAUUGGUUGUAUUGCCUUUUGUUUCUGUGGAUGCUUUUGAAAAAUAUUUUAAAGUCUUUGUUGGAGGUUGCAUGUGCUUCAAAAAUUAAAUUUAGUCUGUAAUUUUAUUACACUUUUAAUUUAAUUUAUCUUAACUGGUGCUUUCAAGCUGUGAACCAGCUGUUGACUUUGAAAAAAACAUUGUUCAGUUUGAAAGGAGCAUUUUAAAACUUAAUGUAAUGGCUGUAAGUAAUCACUACAGCAAUUAUAUUCUCUGGUGUUGUGCGUCACUAUAGCAAUAUUAGAGGCUGUAAGAAAAUGCAGGAAAGAAACCCAUCAGGUUCGUAUGUUUCAGUUUUGUCUGCAGUGUCCAGCAUCUGUCUGUUCUGUAUAGCUCGGUGUCCCUGCUGGAAUUGUGUUAGAAAAUCAGAAGUUUGACUCUGUUGUGGCUCCAUGUUUGCCCAGCAGCAAUCAGGGGCUCUUGGCUGUGUUCUCCUUGGACUGGAGAUGGGUUUUGAUUUUUCCCAUGUGGGCAGAUGGUAGAUAUGCUGCUCUGCUGCCUCCUCCUGACUCAUUCCAAGAUAUUGUGUGGAAUUUUGGGGUUGAUUUUUCUUGAGCAGCUGUGUACCCACCUUGCCUGAUGCUCAUGAUAGCAAAGUUCCUCACAAAGCACACAGAGAGUCUGGCCAGGAUGGGAGAUCUUAGUGUCCUGUAAGGCCAGGCUAUGCUCCCACUGUGCUCUGGAAAGCACGGUAAGGAGAAUUAGUAGAAAUGGGUGUAUUUUCAUGCACGUUCUGAGAAGGAACAGCCUCCAUUUAUUUGUGAGUAACUCUCCAGUUCAGACAGGCUGGAGCUUUUGGGGAAGAGGAUUUUCUGGAUCACUGCAGUGAGGAUAAGGGAAGAAGCAUCCCUUCAUGUUGUAAUAGUCUAUGAAAAUGCUGUGCAGCUUCCUUUGCCCUGGAGAUUAUCUCCAUCAUGAUCUUUAAAGGAAUAUAAUACACAUCACUGUGGAAAUAAAGUGUAUUUCCCAACAAGUCACCCAGCCAUGCUUUACACACAGCUUGUGUUUGAGAACUGCGGACAACACUACUGCUCCAAAAAGGCGGUGCAGGACACACUGUCUCUGCUUUUGACAGAAUCCCAGAAUGGUUGGGCUUGGAAGGGGCCUCUGCAGAUCAUCUAGCCCAACCCACGGCUAAAGCAGGUCCAUCUAGAGCAGGUAUUUUUGCCAGUGUGUGUUGCAGAGCAGGUUCAAGUCACCUGCCUAGCUACCAUCAGUUCCUGUCAACAGCUUUGUGAAGUAACAGUGCAGGUGGGAAAAACCCCAUGGGAAGCUUAGAUUCAGCAAUAUACUAAACCUUCCCUAAAUUUAAUUUGUAGCAAGAUCCUUCAGAAUAUGUAUCUAAUGACAGCAAGAUCUGAGCUGAUUGCAGUAUAGUGACAAUAAAAGGAAGGACAAGUAUGCAGGGAGAAGGGGGCAUUGUGAACUUUGGAUGAAUGGGAGACCAGGCUUACUAUUGAAGCAUAAUUACAGAUGUUUGGUUGCCAUGGCUUUUAAGAAAGAAUAGAAUAUGCAUCUGGAAGUGUGUUUUGCGAUGGCACUUGUAGUAGAUGGUAUUUGUGAUACGACUGGGGUGAUCCUUUGCUAAGAGGCAGCCGUGUCUUGGCAUGGGAACACCCUGCUGGAAUGUACGUUGCUGUAAAAUGAAAAAAUGAGAUGCUCACAAGAAUGGAGGCACAACUGUCUGUGUUUGCAGUGUGCAUUUGUGGGACGUCCCCAGCAAAAGGAGUUUCAGUGUAGUUUCCUGUUUCUCCACCUGUGUGUAGUGCAGAGCAGAGCAAAAGCUACAGAUCUGAGUGUGUUUCAGAGAUCAGGCAGGUCCCUUCUGGACACAUGUGGCAGAAGCUGGGGUGGUGAUCACAGAGGUCACAAAGGGACAGAGACAGAAUCCUCAUUGUGACAAAGCCAAUAUGACACGUGAAUUACACUAUAUCUUGUAUGUGUGUGUGUAUAAAUGAGACACUUAAAGGAAGUAUUUGCUGAGAUGGAGACAGACAUGAAACAGUACGUUCUGGAAAGUUAAAAGCUUAGCCAGUGUACCAAGGAGAAAAGUAUUCCAAGAAGAGUGAAGCAUGGGCUCUCUAUGCUGAGCCUAGGGACAGCUGCUGAAAUAAAAAAAAUGAAGAACAGUCACUAGAAAAACAGAA